UCUCAGUGGAUCGGUUCGGGUUAUUUUCGCACCCGCUUUGUUUUUUCAGGGUCGCGUGGAGGAUCUGGUCUCUCCUCAUCCAUGGCGACGACGGCGAGCUUGAGGCGACGGCCGCGAGGUCCUGGCGACGGCGGCGCAGGUAAACCUUCAGAUAGUAUCUUCACUAGCAUAUCUCCUCCCUUUCUUCUGUCCAUUUGUUGCCCCUCUCCUCCAGUCCAGCAUGCCCUUCCCUACCAUGGCGCCUUCUCUCUCUCCCUCCCUCCCUCUCAUGGUGCCCCUCUCUCCUUUCCCAUGGCACCCCUCCCCCUCCCUUCUUCAUGUGGCGCCUCAUUACUCUCUAUUCUUGUGUCUAUGAGUCUGUCCUCUCUCUUCUUGAACCCUAAAACACAAGCAGAUCUCAAAUCCUAAUUCUCUGUGUUUUUGUAUAGGUUAAUUCGGGUUCAGUUUUGCAAAUCUGCAACAAUCAAGUCCUAAUCCCUUUCCGCUGUUUCAGGUUGAUUGGAAUUCAGUUUUCAAGUCUCUGUAGCGGUCAAUUAAAAAGAAGGUAACAGCAAUGCUUUUGUGAUGUGACACUUUGUGAUGAUUUUGUUGUGUCAAGAUGGAACUAAAAUGCUACCAUAUGCUCAAUUUUAUUUAAUGUGAAAGUCGUGCUAGCUUGUAAAGAUAGUAUACUACAUAUACUAGUUACUAGGUGUUUGUUUUGAUUCAUGGUGUCCAUGAAUGCUGUAUUCUUGUGUUACAUUCUGCACAUAUGAAAAACUGCAGCAAUUUGGUACAAGCAGUACCCUGAAUCACAUAGUCUGAGGUGUUCCAUCUUAUUUUAUUGUCUCUAUAUCUUUCUCUCUCUUUUUUGUCGCGUAAGUCCCUGUUUCUCGGUCAUUAAGCUUGUACAGGGAGUAUGCAUAUAAGUUUUUGUUGCUUCCCUUGACCAUUAUUUUUCUUCAAAAGUCAGAAGGUUUCAUUGCAACUUUAUAUAGCUUAAGUUGUAGUCUAUGCAACCCCAUCUUUUUCUUUUCGUCUCUAGUGUUUUGUUAAACAUAUACAUCCCCCCCCAACCAAUUCAUACGGGGAUUUUUUUUCUACAAAUGUAUUGAUACUUAUGCAAAAGUUGUAGUUCCUUUUUUUCUAUGAGUAGUCUCAACCAGAUUGCUUGAGGUGGCCAAGUUUCCCCUUGGUUCCAAAUCAGUUGAGCUCUGGCCCAUUCUCAUAUGCUAAUCUUUUCUAGGAAGAUCGCUAGUGUUGCACGAGCACGGAAUCGUAGAUGUCAUUAUACACUAUUGUAAGGUGUUGGCCAGCUGGCUAGAGACGUGUGUGGUCAUGACCUAGUGGUUUUUGUUCAUUUUCUUCACUAUAGUGUCUUUUGUCCAUUUCUUCCUAAGUCUCCUAUUUUGGUCUCUUAUAUUGUUAUCUAGCAUUUUCUCUAUAUAUUAAUUCUAAGAUGAACAACUGACUUCUUACUAUUCUUCUUGCAAAUCAGUUUGUAGUGUCCUACUUAAGUGUCUACCUUUUAAAAUUCAAGCUCAAAACUUAAAAUUGGCUAUCCUUUUGGUAACUAUUCACUCUUUUUUCUUUAGUUUUCAUUUUUUGUAUAUAAAUAGGAGUGUCCUACUUAAGUGGCUCCAGAUAGGCAUGGUUGUUACCGAAUCCUCAUUCUCAUCCUUCUUCAGUCUCGCCCCCUCUAUUUUUUCAAUCUGGACUUUGUUUGUCAUUCUGUAGGCUUGCUAUUUCAUUUUUUUUUCAUUUAUCUGUUUACUUGUCAUUCUUCAUUUAUCUGCGUUGUUCUUCUCCAUCUUGUCAUUUAUACAGGAUGGAAAGUCUUCACUUAAUUUUCCUUGCCAUUCAUCAUUUCCACUUCUUCAUUUUUUGCAGUAUUCUGUCUCUUUUUUUGGUCUCAGUUAGCAUAGCUUUUUCAGCUAAAAAUGAUAGUAGAUUAGUCUCUCAUUUGUCCCACUUAUUUUAGUACUCUUCAGUCUCCAUGUCGUCUUUUCUUAUUUAUCAGUCCUUAGUUAUCUUCAUUCCUUAGUCUUCUUGGUAUUCUUCUCAGUCUUAUUAUUCUUAGUUAUUUUUAUGAGUUCUUCUUUCUAUCAGUCCUCUAUUUCCAUCAGUUAUCUGCUUCGGAUUUAGUAAUCAAGUUCUUCAAGUCAUAUUCAGUGUGCUUUCCUCAGUAUGAUUUUUUCUUUCUAUCAGUCAUCUGUUUCAGAUUCAGUACUCAAGGUCUUCAAGUCAUAUUCACUUAUUUAGUGUGUAUUCUUGAGUACGAUUUCAGUGUAGUGUUGCUUGUUGUUAUGAUUUCUUUUCGGAUUCAGUAAUCAAGUUAGGUUUGUUAUACUAUGCUACUCAGGUGUCAGUCUUCAGUGUUAGGUUUUGUAGGUUUAUCAGUCUUGGGACCUCUCCUGUUGCACACCACCUACCAGUACCCCACCAUAUCAGUAUCUUAAGUGUCAGUUUUUCUAAUGUUACGCAUCUAUCAGUUUAGUGUCCGAACCCAUAGGUUCUUAAUUCAUUCUGCGGUGUGUAUCACUUUUCUACCGAUGUGAUUUUUUUUAAAACCUCACUCUGUGGGCCGCUCUUUUUUGACAGAUGCCAUGCUCAUUCUCACUACUGCUACGAAGACUCUAACAAAGAUGUCUCGAAUCAGUCCCUCUUUGCAUCUCUAUCAAAUAACAUGAAAACAUCACAUUCAUUUUUUGUUCAUAUUCUUAAGUGUUCAUUUUUCAUUAUUUUUGUUCGUCGGUCUGUAAGCUUGCCUUCUUAGUCUUAUAUUAGUUUAUCUUAAUAGUAUCAGUCUUCAUUUUAUCAUAUUUAAUUAUCAUUUGCAUCUUUCUUCAGUCCUAUCUCUCAUGGGUCUUGUCUUUUAGUAGAUGAUUAUUUCUGUUGUGAAUCUUAUGUUCCUGUAAGUGCUAAAUUUUUUCAGUUUCUGCACUGGUUUUUUGUUAGAUUAUUUUCAAUUUUUAGUCGUCAGUAUACCUAAGUAUCAGUCUCAGUUCUCUUCAGCUUUAUGUUAAGUGGUUAUUAUUUCGCCAGUGUUUGUUCAGUAUCUUAAGUGUCUCAUUGCAGUUCUCUUUAGUUAUUUGGUCAGUGUUUGUUCUUGUCUAUCAGUUUUAUGUUCAGUCAUUUAUUAGUGUACUUUCCAUUCAACUUAUUAUUUUCAAUUUAUUUUGUUGUUCUUGUAUUUUCAGCAUUCAUUUUGAAAUGGUUAGACUUGAUAUGUGUUUAUAAUUCCUGUAGCUUAAAUUAGUUAUCUGGUGAGUUUCUAUUCUUAAUUUUUCAGUCAUCUUUUUGCUAACAAAUAUAUUUUUUUCUGCCACAUGUGUAACAGUAAUAGGGAUGGUGUGCCCAAUCUGCAAGUCCGACUGAGCUAGCCAUCACUCAUCGGGUUUAAAUUUUGGUGUUUGAUUGUCUGAAGACAUUGAAAGCUCAGUGGUAACAUAAUUUUGAAUAUGCUUAAUUUAUCAGUAUAGUCUAGUUCCCUGUCAUGGUCAGUUAUUAAUUUAUCACUACAGUCUACUUCUCUGUUAUGGUCAAUUUUUCAUUCAUCACGCAUUUAUAGGAGGCUAUGAUGUGGAUAUUACCAUACCUCCCUGUAUGUUUUGUGAUAGCAUAAUAGUUGUCCUGUUCAGUUAAACAUUUCAUUUCUUCUUUAGUUCGUGUAUGAUUUCAUUUUUUUCUUUUCAGAUAUAAACUUAGUCCUUUUAGCUGAUAGAAUUAUAGCAACUUUAGCUUUUUCUUAGAUUUCUUUUUUCUAAUUUUCGGUCAUUACUUUUGUUGCAUUCAUUUUCCUUUUUAGUCUAUAAAUUUUUAGAGUUUAGCUAUUUGUCAGUCUCAUCUGCAAACGUCUCAUGCCCCAACAAGCAUGAGGAUAGCCUAUCUUUUGUUCUUCCUUCUCCAUUUUUUUUGCUUUUUCCUGCAGUUUAUCCCAUGCCACUGAACGGUCGAAUUCAAUUGCGCCACUGGCGGCAUGCUUUUUAAGGAAUUUGAGGGGCGCAAAUUCAUCACCGAGAUCAGGAAAGAACACAGGAGGAUCUGUGCCGGAGUAAAUAGCCAUGGGUAGCCUAGCCGGCUUCCCCUGGCCCUUCUGAAAAAGUUACGAGCCUGCCCGGCUCUCAAGAAUCCAAGACGUGGGGCCGCCUUCCCCUUGCUGGCUGCCACCCAGGCCGGCUUUCGGAAGGCGGUCCGACUUUAGCCCUCAUGAGAAGGCCGACUCCAAGAAGCCGGCCAUGAGAAGGCCGACUCCAAGAAGCCGGCUCCCCAUAAAGCGGUCCAGACCGUACCCACAAAAGUUUGCACCCACCUAACGGCGAUGCGACGGGGCGUGGCUACAAAAAAGCCUGCCACCCCCGAAUCCCGGAGCACGCCUGGCACAGUGCGCCGUACGGGGUAGGCAUGACCUGUCCGGCGCGGCACUGUCGCCAUGUUGACCCUGGCAUCACCCGCGACGGGCCGCCAGCGUGGCCCACAGACGGUGGGCCCCUUCGAGCAGAGAGACGCCCGAAGGCGGCCACGCCUCCAACCAGUCGGCCCAAGACAGAGUCGGCUCCCCGCAGCCGGCUUGCCGCCUCCCUCGAAGAAGACGCCCCAUUAAGGAGACAAGACGCGGUAAGGCUACAGCGAUCGCCUGACAGGCGGCGGUACUGUAGCCGCGCUUGCCACGAUGAAGCUCACGUCAACAAGAUGGAGCCACAGUAACCAGCCGCCGACCAGGCCCUGGAUAGUGGGGCCUGCCUGUCGACCAAGGGGCCGGCAGCCGGCGGGACCCACCAGUCGGCGGGCCCCAGUAGCCGGCGCAAAAGCCGGCGAGCGCAGUCACAGACGGCUGGGCCCCGCGCCCAGUCGGAUUACCAUUGUACCCCUGGGGGGUAGGCCUAUAUUAACCCCCCGGAGCACCCAUGCAAAGGGUUCGACCCCUUGCUAGUUCUAGACACCACACAAGGAGAAGAAGCAGGCUAGCCGUGCCCUUCUUCCUCCUCCCCCCAAACAGCUCAAGGAGCGUUGUGUAGCUGCUUGAUUCAUCUAGUGAACAUGCGAAGACCCCGCAGAGCAGCAGUAGGGGUGUUAUCUCCACGGAGAGCCCCGAAGCUGGGUAAGAUCCGCCGGCGUGCAUGUCUUCGCCUUAUCCCAUUUCCAGGCACCGGCGAUGUCUUACUGGCUCCCACAAUGAUAAGCCACCCGUUGGCAUAUGUCGCACCUACCACCCGACAUUUGGCGCCCACCGUGGGGCUAGGUGCACCGUCGUCCGGAGACUUGUUCUGGAGGGGAACCUUAUUCCUCCCCCGCGAGCGUAGCCAGCCCGGCUCGCCCGGUGGCGCUUGCCACGACGCGCUGCAAGGCGUCACCAGCAUCUGCGCGGCAAGCGGCCUCGCCGAUCUCCUCGACGAAACUCUCAUCUCCAACGAGCUCGCCUCCGAUGCGGGCAACGACCACCUCACCAACCUUCUCGGCCAGCUCCAUGUCUCCAGCGAGCCCGCUGUGGACCUGGAGUCGGUUGGCUCCACCGACCCGAUGCAUGUCGACUCCGACACGGCCUCCUACGACACCUUCCCCACCAACGUCACGAUCUACAACAACCCGCUUCCUCGAGCCGACGGCUGCGAUGCUGUCACCACCAAAGUGAUGGUUGUCGGCCACGGCGGCCCGGCCGACGAGAGCGCCCGCGACGCCUCGCACACGGCGGCCCACGACUUGUCCGCUCCCCUCCCGGCUAAUGCCGACGACGAAGCACUGGAGGCACGCCACCUCGCCCUCCUCGCAGAGGGCCGGAGGCUGGCCUCCGUAAGACGCCUCACUGAGGCCUAUCAGCGCGGAGCUGACAGCGCCGCCUUCGGCACGCCGGCCCCGGGCGGGCCAAGCCGGGCCGGCCUUGUCAAGCAACGUGGCGCCGUCAUCGCCGACACGCUGGGAAUCGACCGCCCGGUCUAUGCUACGCCGCUCGAGAACUUGCGUGCCGCCCAGGCGGCUGUAGACGAGUUGGACGGCUUGGAGGCCGAAGACCUCCCCCACGUGACCCGGCGCAUCCAGCAAUUGAUUGACGCAGCCGCGCAGCGACACGAAGCCGACGCCCGCGCGGAAAGCCCUCCCCCGCGCCGAGAACACGGCGCGACGUCCCGGACGCCGACUACGAGCAACACCCGUGCGCGACGCGAGAAGGAGCCGACUGCCAGCCACAGCCGGACCCGGAUCUCCAUCGAGCGAGACGCGGACGGUCAUCCCCGAGCCAUGGAAUGGCGUGGCGACCCGCCUCCGCCUCCGCCCCAUGGAGAGAGAUAUCCCGCCCCGCCGCCAGUGGCGCACCCGACUCUCAGCGGCCGGCUGGGCCGCCGCGAAGGAAUCGGCGAGAACGACGCCCGCCAUCGGAUCGACCGCCUGGCGCGAUCCCUGGCGUUGGAAGAAGAAGACGAUGUCGUCCCGCCUUGUUUCGGCCCCCGCAUCCGCGACGAGGCCUUUCCCAAAGGGUUCUCGCUCCCAAGAGACACGCCCAAGUACAACGGCUCUGUGAAGCCGGAAGAUUGGUUGAUCGACUACUCCACGGCGGUUAGCAUAGCCAACGGCAACCGGCGCGUUGCCGUGAAGUACGUGCCCCUCAUGCUGCAAGGCACGGCGCGGACCUGGCUCAACAGCCUCAAGCCGCGUAGCAUCAACAGCUGGCUAGAUUUCACAGAAGCCUUCAUCCGCAACUUCACCAGCACCUACAAGCGGGCUCCCAAGCCCAGACAGCUCUCCUUGUGCGUACAAGGCCCCGCCGAGUCCACUCGCGAUUACCUCACACGUUGGGCCGAGCUCCGCAACUCCUGUGAAGGGGUGCACAAGGUGCAAGCCAUUGAGUACUUCACGGCCGGAUGCCGAGAAGGCACCCUCCUCAAGCACAAGCUCCUCUGCGACAAGCCGACUACCCUCGACGAGCUUCUGGACAUAGCGGACAAGUACGCCACCGCCGACUCCUCGAUGAAGACCGAGCUUCGGGUGGACGCAUCCGGAAAGGUACUCAACCCGGCGCCCAAGACGCCGGCUGGAGAUUCCGGCCGACUCCCCCACUCGAAUGAUCACAAGCGCAAGGGCCCCGAGCCGCCUCCCGCCAGUCGGCAGGUGGCCACAGUCGAAGAUGCGCCGCCUGAAGAGCAACUGGCACCCAAGAAGCCCAAGGGCGGCAGGCCGGCUUGGCAGCCCGCCUUCUCCUACGAGCAAACUCUCGACGCCCCUUGCAAGUUCCACAGCGGCGCGAAGCCGUCCAACCACACGACCCGGAAGUGCCAUUGGCUCACCCGAAUCUCUAAAGGCGAAGGGCUCGCGCCGCCUCCGCCUGCCGGCCCGCCGCCUCCGCCUCCGCCGCCUCCGGCCGCUCGGCCCGCAGUCGGAGCCGUGCAUGACGAGUUCCCUGACGAGCAAGCAACCUACAUCGUUUUUACAAGCCAGCCCGAAGACCGGCGCAGCAAACACCAAGAGCGCCAGGAAGUUAGCGUGGUCGCUGGCAACCCCGCCGGACACAUGCAUUGGUCAGAAAAGCCCAUCAGCUGGAGCCGGGCCGACCAUCCGGAGGUGAUGCCGUCUCCCGGCUCUUACGCUUUGGUCCUGGAAGCCACCCUUGUGACGGACAGACGCGCCGCCCGCUUUUCCCGUGUGUUGAUAGACGGCGGGAGCAGCAUCAACAUUCUGUACCGUGACACCCUGGAAAAGCUAAAUGUCAAGACGAAGCAGCUCACGCCAACUCGGACAGUGUUUCAUGGCAUCGUACCGGGCUUAUCCUGCGCCCCCAUUGGCAAGAUCAAGAUCGAUGUGCUUUUUGGGGACAAGGAGCAUUUCCGCCGGGAAGCGAUCUGGUUUGAAGUGGUGGACCUGGAGAGCCCUUACCAUGCAUUGCUGGGCCGACCUGCCUUGGCCAAAUUCAUGGCAGUUCCCCACUAUGCAUACCUCAAGAUGAAGAUACCAAGAACCAAAGGCGUCAUCACCGUAGCCGGUGAUUACAAGAAGUCCUCUGAGUGCGCGGCGGCCAGCAGCCGGCUGGCCGAGUCCCUUGUGAUUGCCGAAGAGAAGAAGAUGUUGGACCGAGUCGUGGCCAUAGCCGGCAAGCCGUCGGCCGUGUCCUCCGACCCCAAGGAGCAUGAUACUCAAGGAUCUUUCCAGUCGGCCAAGGAGACAAAGAAGAUACCUCUUGACCCCGAGCAUCCAGAGAGGUUUGCCGUCAUCGGGGCAAACCUGAACAGCAAAUAGGAAGGCGAGCUUGCCGAUUUCCUCCGUGAGAAUCGGGACAUCUUUGCAUGGUCCCCCAAGGACAUGCCGGGUGUUCCGAGGAAAUUCGCCGAUCACAAACUACACGUUCGAGAAGACGCAAAGCCAGUCAGACAACCCCUUCGCCGACUGUCGGAGGAGAAACGCAGGAUUGUAGGGGAGGAGAUAGCCCGGCUCUUGGCGGCCGGCUUCAUCAUGGAAGUUUUCUUUCCAGAGUGGCUCGGCAACCCGGUCCUUGUGCUAAAGAAGAACAACAAGCGGCGCAUGUGUAUAGACUACACGAGCCUCAACAAGGCCUGCCCCAAAUAUCCUUUUGCCCUGCCAAGGAUUGACCAAGUGAUAGACUCCACAGCCGGAUGCGAGCUGUUGAGUUUUUGGAUGCUUACUCCGGAUAUCAUCAGAUAAAGCUAGACCCGGACGACCGCCUGAAGACCGCCUUCAUCACGCCAUUUGGAGCCUUCUGCUACCUGACCAUGACAUUCGGCUUGAGAAAUGCCGGUGCCACUUUUCAGCGUUGCAUGCAGAAGUGCCUCCUCAAGCAACUCGGCAGAAACGCUCACGUUUACGUGGACGACAUCGUGGUGAAGACGGAGAAGCGCGGCACCUUGCUGGGAGACCUCAAGGAAACGUUUGAGAACUUACGCCGGUUCCAAAUCAAGCUCAACCCCGAGAAAUGCGUGUUCGGAGUGCCGGUCGGCCAGCUCCUAGGCUCCCUGGUCUCCGAACGCGGCAUCGAAUGCAACCCGAUGAAGAUCAAGGCCAUCGAGAGAAUGGCGAUCCCCACCAAGCUUCGAGACAUUCAGAAGUUCACCGGGUGCUUAGCCUCCUUGAACCGCUUCAUCAGCCGGCUCAGAGAGAAAGCUCUCCCCCUCUACCGCCUCAUGAAGAAGAGCACUCACUUCGAGUGGAACGACCAGGCCGGCCAAGCUUUUCACGAGUUGAAGAAGAUGCUGGCCACGCCGCCUGUCCUCGCGGCGCCGACUGAGAAAGAGCCCAUGCUCCUCUACAUCGCCGCAACCAGCCGGGUGGUCAGCACCGUCAUCAUAGUCCAGCGCCCAGAAGAAGGCCGGGCCCAGCCGGUCCAGAGGCCGGUGUAUUAUUUGAGCGAGGUGCUGUCCGCCUUAAAGCAGAACUACCCGCACUACCAGAAGAUGUGUUACAGCGUGUACUUCACCGCCAAGAAGCUGAAGCCCUACUUUCAAGAGCAUCCCGUCACGGUCGUAUGCACUGCCCCGCUAGCCGAGAUCAUAGGCAGCUGGGAUGCAUCCGGCCGGGUGGCAAAAUGGGCCAUCGAGCUGGCCCCCUACACGAUCUUCUACCGACUCCGCACUGCCAUCAAGUCCCAAGCACUGGCCGACUUCCUCGUCGACUGGGCCGAGACCCAGUACCUGUCGCCGGCUCCCGACUCCACCCAUUGGCGCAUGCACUUCGACGGGUCCAAGAUGCGCACCGGCUUGGGAGCCGGCGUCGUCCUUACCUCUCCCGAAGGCGACAAGCUCAGAUACACGCUACAGAUCCACUUUGCCGCCUCCAACAACGUGGCCGAGUACGAGGCGCUCAUACACGGGCUCCGGCUUGCCAAAGAACUUGGCAUUCGCCGGAUCCUAUGUUAUGGCCACUCGGACCUGGUGGUCCAGCAAUCAUCCGGCGACUAGGACGCCAAGGACGCGAAUAUGGCGAGCUACCACUUCCUGGUCCAACAACUCAGCGGAUACUUUGAAGGAUGCGAGUUCCUCCACGUACCACGAGCCGACAACGAGCCAGCCGAUGCCCUGGCUCGAAUAGGCUCCACUCGGCAAGCAAUUCCAAUCGGCGUCGCUCUACAACGCCUCCUCAAGCCGUCCAUCAAGCCGUCUCCAGAGUCCGAUUCCAUCUUCGUGCCGCCUGACCCCGAUGCGGCCGGGUCCGACUCAAAGAACCAAGUAGGCGACCCCAAGACCCCCGUAGCCGGCCCGGCGACUUCAGCAGCCGGCUCGGGGACUUCGGCGGCCAGCUCGGGGACUUCGGCAGCCGGCUCGGGGACUUCGGCGGCCGGCUCGGGGACUGCGGUAGCCGGCCCGGGGAUUGCACCAGCACUACAGCUGGCGGCCGACUCCAGCACCUCAUCGCCCAGCCCGCCCACCCUGGUAGCAGUAGCCACAUUGGCAGUAGGAGAAGUCGCGGCUCCGUCAUGGGCUCAGUCCAUCCUCAACUUCCUAGUAAACCAAGACCUGCCGGCUGACGAAACAGAAGCAAGACAAGUCCAGCGUCGAGCCGGAGCGUACACAAUCGUCAACAGAGAACUACUCAAGCGCAGUGUCACUGGAAUCCUCCAACGGUGCGUCGAGCAAGAGAAGGGCAUUGCAAUCCUCAGAGAUAUUCACCAAGGAGAAUGCGGCCACCAUGCGGCCUCAAGAUCACUUGUCGCCAAAGCUUUCCGCCAUGGUUUCUUCUGGCCGACCGCUUUGGAUGACGCCAAAGAAUUAGUCAAACAUUGCAAGGGAUGCCAACUCUUCAGCUCCAAGCAACACGUGACGGCUUCGGCACUCAAGACCGUUCCCCUCACUUGGCCCUUCGCCGUUUGGGGACUGGACAUGGUAGGCCCAUUCAAGACGGCGCGCGGCGGCAUGACACAUUUGCUAGUCGCCGUGGACAAAUUCACCAUGUAGAUUGAGGCAAAGCCGAUCAAGAAGCUGAAUGGGCCGACUGUCGUGACGUUCAUCGCAGACAUAACAACUCGGUACGGCGUGCCGCACAGCAUCAUCACCGACAAUGGGACGAAUUUUGCCAAAGGAGCCUUGGCACGCUUCUGCGCAGCCCAAGGUAUCCGGCUGGACUUAGCAUCCGUCGCCCACCCGCAGUCAAACGGCCAGGUCGAGCGAGCCAACGGCCUCAUCCUCUCCGGUAUCAAGCCUCGACUGGUUGUACCUCUGGAGCGCUCAGCCGGCUGUUGGCUCGAUGAGCUGACGGCUGCCCUCUGGAGCCUGCGCACUACACCAAACAAGUCAACUGGCUUCACCCCUUUCUUCCUUGUGUAUGGUGCCGAGGCGGUCAUCCCAACUGACAUCGAAUUCGACUCGCCUCGAGUAACCAUGUACACGGAAGCGGAGGCCAAGGAAGCACGAGAAGACGACGUCGACCUGCUGGAAGAAAGCCGGCUGUUAGCCCUCAGCCGAUCUGCCAUCUACCAGCAGGGUUUGCGCCGCUACCACAGCCGGAAGGUCAGGCCAAGAUCCUUCCAAGAGGGUGAUCUUGUGCUCCGGUUGAUCCAGCGAACAGCCGGCCAGCACAAGCUCUCAGCCCCUUGGGAAGGUCCCUUCAUCAUCAGUAGAGCUCUAGGCAACGACUCCUACUACCUGAUCGACGCACAGAAGCCGAAGGCGCGCAAGAGAGACGACUCCGGCAAGGAGUCGGAACGACCAUGGAACGCCAACCUCCUCCGAAGAUUUUACAGUUGAAAUGCAGUAUGUACCGUGCUAACUUUUGUAUUAAGUACAAGACAAUAGGCUCCCCGACGAGGGCUCGGGGACUGUCAUCCCUUAUUUAUGAAUGAAAAGUAUCAUGCUUAUGACCUUGUCGUGUCAUUUACUUAUUCCGUCCAGCACCGAGUUCGACUAGUCGGCUCGGGGACUGGCCAACUGGAGUUAUGUUAGAAGUCCUACCCGCAGUCAGACAAGUAGUGUGCCGGCUCCCAAGCCUUUUCUUGCCAAAAGUCGCAGUUUGAAGAACCGGCUGUCCGGCUGGCAAGAGUUAAAGGCAGGAACGGGCGCCCACACGAAAAACGGCUAGGGACUAACGGACUAAUAUAACAAAAGCCGGUUUUUCUCACACCGCCGACUAGCUACCAGAGUAGCCGGCCGGCCGGUUUCCAUUCACUUCACUUCAAUCUAAGAAAGCUCAAGUACUUGCCUCCCCAAAGAGGGAAGGCGGCAAAGGAAAAAGCCUAAGGAUAAAAAAGCAUAUGCGAAUGGAAACCAAACAUGCACAUGAUAAUAUUUACAUAAAAAAGACCUCCGAGAGGCCAGCAUUCAACAUAGUUUGGAUACACCCCCAGUGGGUGGAACUGCAAAAACUUAACAAAGAUUGUUCAAAGACAACAAGGCAGGAAAGAUAAAGACGGCAGGUCAAGCUGGCGGAGCGGCCGACGAGCCAGACUGGUUGGUGGAGAUGGUCGUGCCGGCUGAAGGAGCGGCCGGCUGGCGAACUUCGACUUUGUCGCCGCCUCCCGCAGAGGGCGCGCUUCCACGCGCCUCGUUGCUGGAGGCACGGUCGGCCUGAGGUCGGCCGGUUGUUCCACCAGCCGGCUCGACGUCUUCGCCGUCCUCCUCUUCGUCAUCCUCGCCUUCGUCGCUGGAGGCAAUCUCCUCCGCCGAGUCCUCGCCCACCGCCGGGUUCAGCAUGAACCACUCCUCCGGCUGAGCAACACCGUCAUCAUCGAUUUCGGGUGCGAAAACGCUGAUGUCGGUGCACUCGGCGAUCGUCGAAGCUCGCUGGGCGAUACCCGGCCUCACCUCCUCCAGCUCUGCGUCGGCCUCCAUCCGCCAAGUGCGCAGCUGGUCCAGGCUCAGCCCUGGGUACCAAGCCCGAACGAACUCCAAUGCCCACCCGGCUUCGAGGUGGGCCGUCGACGCCUUCCAAGCCUCAAAGCGACCAACUGCGACCUCCAGCCAGUCGGCAGUUCGGCUUGGGGUGCGGGGAAUCGUCUCGCCGGGCCAGAGGGCGGCCAACACUUGCGCCCCGGCACGUUGGAGCCGGCGAAGCAUCCGAUGAGCCGGCUGCAAACCGCGCCUGGACAGCCAGGAGCUGCUCCUCAAGUGUCCGGUUCGCAUCCGGCGCGAUGUUGGCCCCCGCCUGACGACGCGCCUCGCGAUGGGCCUCAAUGCUUUGGGAGGUGAAGGCGGAGUAGCCGGGGAAGUAGUCUGCACCAAAAACAAGCAACAGCUCAAGAUAAGUCAAAAAACCCAAGCGACAAGGGGCAGGGGAGGGCCGAGGAAGGCAGCUUACCGUCGAUCAAGUCCUCGAUCCGGCCGAAGCUUUCGUCCAGGGCUCGCCGGGUCUCAGACCAGCUCGCCGCCUCGGUCUCAUACUCCACCUUCAAGGCGGCUUCGCUUUCCUGCGCCACCUGCAGGGCCGCUUUGUGGCUAUCCUCUUGGUCGGCCAGCUUCUUGGCUAGGCGAUCCCGUUCCUGGACCAAGGCGGCGCACUCGGCCUCCUUGGUAUGAAGGGCAGCCUUCGCUUCGCCGAGCUCCUUCCUCAAAUCGGCGUUGGCCCCUGAAGACAAAGAAAAAGAAAAACCAAUAAGGAAAGAGUCGUCAAGAAAGAUCCGACCCGACUGCGCAACAGUCGGCCCGAAUCUCGGGGACUACACCCAGUGGGUGUGCUGACGCGCCCCCACAGGAGACAGACAAGAUCGAGUACUUACUUCGGCUGUCGGCCAGGUCGUCGGUCCUCCGGCUCAACUCCCGAGCCUGGGAGUUGAAGGCGGCAGCACGAAGGUUGUGGUAUUCCUGAAAGUUCAGAAAAAAGCAAAGUAAGGUAGCCGUCGAGAAAGAUCCGACCCGACUGCACAGCAGUCGGCCCGAAUCUCAGGGACUACACCCAGUGGGUGCGCUGACGCGCCCCCAUGGAAGAAAUCAAGAAAGCAAAGCAGCCAGGAACGAAGGACUCACCCGGAUAGUGGCUCGCGUUGACAAGAACUCCUGGGUGAACUGUUGCAGCAGGGCGGCCUGAGCUUGCAGCCGGCUCCGGACCCCUUGAGCUGCCACAUUCAGCUCGCCAGUUCCCCCGCUGGGAGUCCACUCGGACGUGGCAGUGCUGGCCGCCUCAGGAUCUUCCGCCGACUGGCCUGCGCCCGCAACUCGGCGCAACUCCGGCGAAGCGACGCCUCCCCCUGCGCGUUGGCCCGUCGCCGGCUGCACCUCGAGGCCGGCUCUGCUCUCCGGCUCACCUCCGGUCGGCCCCUAUGGCGCCGCUGACAAUUGGCCGCUUUGGCCCGCUCCGGUCGGCGCUGCUGGCGGCGCUUUCCUCGCAAAGGCCACGGGGUCCUCCCCCCUCUCCAUCAGCGGCGGGUCUUGAAUGAUCUCCUCCGCCAAGGGCAAUGGGGUGUCGGGGGCUAAGGCUCGGAGAGGAAUGGCGAGCAGCGGGGGAUGGUCACGCGAGCUUUCCGCCUCCGUCUCCGCGGUAGCCGCCUCUGUCUGGGCCUUGGCUGCCGCGUCGACCUGCUCCCUCGCCGCCUGGGCGGCCGCCUUCUCCACCGCCUCGCGCUCCUCCCACGCUUCACGGCGUUCCGCUCUGUGGCCUCCCUGAGAUCGGCGCGGGGGUCCACGCGGCGGGAGCUCAAAGACCCUCCGGCCGGCCCCACGACAGAGCCGCCCGGGCCCCGCUCAAGGGAAAGCGGCGCCCUGUCCGGCAAGCGAGAAAAAGUUAAGAAGAAUAUUCGAAGAGAAAGAGAAUGAUGACGAGCAUGCGGCAAGGUAGUCGAAGACUUACGCUGAGACCGUCGGAGGCUGUUUCACCGCCUUGCGGAAGCGGGCCGCUUUCACAGUCGCCUCGUCUCGCUUGGUCACCGCAGCGGAGGCUUUGGACUUCUUCGGCCGACUGCCAAAGAGGCCUGAAGCGGCCCGGCGCUUCUGUGCGCCGCCGCCGGCCGCCGGCGCGAUAGACGAGCCCGCGCCCUGUUGGUCGGCCGCCGGCUGGCGACGCAGGGCGACUUCGGCUUUGAAAUCGUCCGGCCAGUCCUCGAAGCUCGCGGUGAACCUUGAGCCUUCGGGCUCGACGCUGUCCCCCACCACGGCGUCUUCCAUGGCGGCCGCCCCCAAGUCCGGGUCGUCAACGUCGUCCACCAUGCGGUCGGGGGCAUACUGGCGUUCAAUCCCCGCCGCCCCGGCCGGCGGCGCAAGAAGAGGGUUCUGCUCAAAAGAACCGACUGGUCAGAAGCCGGCCGUCAUGAAGCCGGCCGACGACAAAAAGAAGAUAGAGAGAGAAGCUUACCACGGGCGGAGGAUUGGCGCGAGAAUACGGCACCUUGCCGUAUUGCCAGUCCCCGGCGAGCUUGCAGUUGGCGAUGUAGUUAACCAUGAGCGCCACCUCCGCGUGGGGCAUUUCCCAUGUGCUCAGCCGGCUUGGGUCGAAGCGGCCGCUCAUCUGACACAUCAUAUGGGGCCGGCUUUGGAGAGGAAGGAUCCGGCGCUCCACGAAGGCGGCCACCAAGUCGGCCCCGCGCAGGCCUUCCGACUGAAUCAUCACCCGAAGCCGGGAGAUGGCGGCGUUCCCGGCCGGAGACAGUGACCGGGACCGGAAGCUCCACAAGGGCUGUCUCCCAGCCGGCGGGCCGGCUACGUAAGCCGGCAGGUUGAUGUAGUCUCCUUGCUCGGCGACGUUCUUCACGUAGAAAUACGAUCUCUGCCAGACCUUCACCGACUGGAUCAGGGGGAUGGGCGGGAACGGGUUGUUCUCGCUCGCCCUCCUCAUGGCGAUGAAGGCCCCGCAAGGGGCGGGCACGCCGGCGACGACUGUGCCGAGCUUGCUCUGGAAGAACUCUCCCCAGAGCUCCAGCGUGGGGAGCAGCCCCAAGAAGCCUUCGCAGAGGGAGACGAAGGCCGACAGCAGCAUCACCGCAUUGGGCGUGAGGUGAUGCGGCUGGAGGUUGUAGAAUUCCAGGAAAGAGCGCAGAAAUCCGCUCGCCGGAAGGCCGAAGCCGCGCAGGCAGUGCGAGCGGAAGACGACCCGCUCGCCCUCCUCCGGUGCCGGCGAGAUCUCCUUCUCCGGCGCCAGGCGGACCUGUACGAGGUCGGCGCCGAGCAGGCGCCGAGUCUGGCGGAGGAACUCCACAUGGUCGUCGUGGACGUUGGAGCCGUCCCACGAGCUUGACAACGCCAUGGGAGCGAGGCGGUGUAGAGACGCGGUGGUGCUGAGACGGGAAGCUGCGACGGCAGCGAGAGGAAGAAACGGGGGUUGGGAGGGGCGGAGCGGGAGAGAGCGUGCGUACCUCUGUCGCUCUCCCUCCUCCCCCUACUUAUAGACUCACGUGGCGGAGCCGAGGAGGCGCGGCGUGGGGAAGCGUGGGGAUCGAUCGUGCCCACUCCCCACGUCCCGCAAUUAUUGAGCCUUAACGGCGAAACGAAACUGCCUCGGGAAGGCGAGCGGCCCCUGUGGGCCACGGAAGAUCCGCGCCCGGACCAAGGCUCGCGAGUGGCGGGCCCGGGCCUGCGGCGGCGGCCCGUCGCGCGCGUGCGCUCGCAAGAUCUCGCUGCCACGUGCCCGCGGGGGGGCCCAUAGUCAGCACGCAGGUCCCCCCCUCCUCCCGCCUAAAAGACGCGGGGCUCUCUGAAGUCGGCAUACGCCCGCAAAGCCGGCUCUUCAGGAUGGGAAGCUGACCAAGCUUCUCGUCCCCCUGCUCGCCUCGGAGCUCGAUCAGCUUCGGGGACUACUGUCGGAGUAAAUAGCCAUGGGUAGCCUAGCCGGCUUCCCCUGGCCCUUCUGAAAAAGUUACGAGCCCGCCCGGCUCUCAAGAAUCAAAGAUGUGGGGCCGCCUUCCCCUUGCUGGCUGCCACCCAGGCCGGCUUUCGGAAGGCGGUCCGACUUUAGCCCUCAUGAGAAGGCUGACUCCAAGAAGCCGGCCAUGAGAAGGCCGACUCCAAGAAGCCGGCUCCCCAUAAAGCGGUCCAGACCGUACCCACAAAAGUUUGCACCCACCUAACGGCGGCGCAACGGGGCGUGGCUACAGAAAAGCCUGCCACCCCCGAAUCCCAGAGCACGCCUGGCACAGUGCGCCGUACGGGGUAGGCAUGACCCGUCCGGCGCGGCACUGUCGCCAUGUUGACCCUGGCAUCACCCGCGACGGGCCGCCAGCGUGGCCCACAGAUGGUGGGCCCCUUCGAGCAGAGAGACGCCCGAAAGCGGCCACGCCUCCAACCAUUCGGCCCAAGACAGAGCCGGCUUGCCGCCUCCCUCGAAGAAGACGCCCCAUUAAGGAGACAAGACGCGGUAAGGCUACAGCGAUCGCCUGACAGGCGGCGGUACUGUAGCCGCGCUUGCCACGAUGAAGCUCACGUCAACAAGAUGGAGCCACAGUAACCAGCCGCCGACCAGGCCCUGGACAGUGGGGCCUGCCUGUCGACCAAGGGACCGGCAGCCGGCGGGACCCACCAGUCGGCGGGCCCCAGCAGCCGGCGCAAAAGCCGGCGAGCGCAGUCACAGAUGGCUGGGCCCCGCGUCCAGUCGGAUUACCAUUGUACCCCCCGGGGGUAGGCCUAUAUUAACCCCCCGGAGCACCCAUGCAAAGGGUUCGACCCCUUGCUAGUUCUAGACACCACACAAGGAGAAGAAGCAGGCUAGCAGUGCCCUUCUUCCUCCUCCCCCCAAACAGCUCAAGGAGCGUUGUGUAGCUACUUGAUUCAUCUACUGAACAUGCGGAGACCCCGCGGAGCAGCAGUAGGGGUGUUAUCUCCACGGAGAGCCCCGAAGCUGGGUAAGAUCCGCCGGCGUGCAUGUCUUCGCCUUAUCCCGUUUCUAGGCACCGGCGAUGUCUUACUGGCUCCCACAAUGAUAAGCCACCCGUUGGCAUAUGUCGCACCUACCAUCCGACAACCUGCAUCUGUGGCGUUGGGUGGGAGGACUUCAUCACGUUGAACAAUCUCAGUGAGGGAGUUUUGCUCCAUUUUGUACUCGAUGGACCAGUGCCAAAAUUGCUGAUUUGCAUGGUUGCGCCACCUCCCAACCAGGCUGAUCUAGCGCUUGAGGCUGAUGUGUUCACGGAAGACAUGAAGAAGAAGGCAAGAGAGAGUGCAAAGCUGUAUGAAACUCUACUAUAUUGACCAACGGAUACAUGGGUUGCCAUUUGUGCAUCUUUUUUUGUUCAUUUUCAGUGUGACUAUUCAAUCUUCAGUUUUAUGGUCUCCAGUAUAUUCUUGUUGUGGUCAGUUUUGAACUAUAGAAGAAAGUUCAAGGGACAUAUAGCUAAGCGAGACUCUGGUUUGCAUCCAGCAUCAUGUUUACUUGGCUCCUAUUUUGUUACUUUUUUUAAGCUAUACUGUCACUCCCAUUUAGUCCAUGUCCACACAAAAUGUCAAGGUAUGAAUCAGUAGCGGGUUUGCAAGUGACCCGUUAGGGAGAGGCGCCAACAUGUGUUUGAAGGUAGACGAGGGGGAGGGAGAAUACGACCUGAAACUGAAAUGAAAACAGUCGUUUUUUUGGCUCUACAGUCUGGACUGAAACUACUACAAAGACACGUGUAAAGAACUGUGUGGACAAGAAAAACGACCUAAACCAAAUGGGAAAACAGAUGACUGAAAAUUAGACACUCCCUAUAUAAAUAAUACGACUUUUGGUAAAACUAUGCAAUCACCACCUUUGCCAUCGAAGCUGAGCCUCCCCGCCUGCUGGUGAUGCCUAGUGAAAUAUAGUUAGGGAAAAUCAACUUUUCUUGCAAUAAAAUAUCCAGGAAAACUAAGGGGCACAAUCCUGAAAAUAGAACUGCCAUGUAUACAGUAGAAAAUAUCGACCGCUCCCUACCAAGUAUGUAUAUAUAUCAUUUUUUUUUGAUAACUUUUAAACCGUUAAAAGCUUAGCGAGCUUUAACAAUAGACACAAUUUUACCUAUAUAUAAGGUAAAAGCUUAGCGAGCCUUAACAAAACUGGGGAAAAAAUGAUAUCAUGAACGGCUGUCGCUGGAUACAGUUGCAGUCAAAUCGACAUGAGGAUCCUGCAGCAUCUUGAGCAUGACCCCUGCGUUCACGCUCCCAACUUGAUUGAAGUAGUCGUCGAACAGGCUGUGUAACGAGGGCUUCCCGAACCACUGCUCAUACCCAGGCACCUGCAUCCUGCAUGCUCAAGACCACUAUCAGUCACUUCAGCACACACAUAGAGAACAUAUCUAUAUGCAAUUCAUAGAUUAGUUUCCUUUUUGAACUAAUUCAUAGAUCAAACUUUUUGUUAUUUAACUUAAUAUCCAUAUAUAGACUUAAAGCAUUCCUUCUAGUUCAGAUCGACGGACCAUCGACACAUGGAUACAACUAGUCAAACAUGAAUAUGAAAUUCUUAACCCGGCUGAUGUUGGUAGCGAGUCCUGUCCUGUCACUCAUGGAUGGAGCAUAUAGGAUCAAUCAAUCAAAACACGGUCAGUGUGGUGUGUCGGCAUCGUCAUUAGUCCUAUUGGAGAGGAUAGGAUCUGCCCAACAGUGAGGUUUUUGACGGGAGAGACUAUGAGUGACCGAGGGGAGACGGGAGGGGGCAGGCACCUGGUGCGGGCGGCGUUGGGAGGGGGCUCGAUGAGGGGCGGCACCUCCACCCUAGGCUCCGGCGGCGGCGCCGGCGGCCACUCCCGCGCCGGCUUGCUCCGGGAAAUCCCCAUCGCUCUCUCCUAUGUCCCGAUUGCUCGUCUCCUCCCUCUCCGGUUGCACAGAUCCGCUGACGCUCGCCGCCGAUCGAAAAUCGCAGCCCGAUCCGAACCCCAGGUUGGUACUCUCCUUCGGGCUUUUAUGUCUCCUGCCUCCUCGUUUCUUUUCUUGCCAAACAAGCACAAGACUCUUCUUCUAAGCCUACGGACGUGGGGCGAUCGACCAUUACGUGCCGUCCGAGCCGGGGACUGAGAUUUGUAUUCGGCCGUCCUGAGUCCUGACCUCCAUGUCCAUGGAAGUGGAACCACGGCUAAGGGCAGACUCUCUCUGAAUGUCUCAACACUUGUUCCGGCCUCUUUCUUCAGAAAUCGCAGUGUCUCUGCGACCCUAAAAACAGAGGGAAAACCCCACCCUACUCUCUACAGUAUUUUUUUAGCGGUAAACCUCAGUUUAUUAAGGAGUUCAGUUUACAGGAAUGAUAAACGGGUCAUGGGGUAUUGCCCAGCCACAAAUGGCCACCCUCUACUAAAGAAGACAAAAAUUUAGCUAAAGCUAUGAGCCUCAGAAUUUGAAGUAUUUGUGACAAAAUCCUUUGUUACUAGCAGCCGGGGCCGCCACACCUCCCCAUCCUCCCCCCGCCGCCGCUAGAGGAAGCCGCCCGGGCUUCGCUACGGGGUUCCAUGGGCGCGGGGGCGCUUCCCUAGAUUUGGGUCGCCGGCGGCCUGUCGUGGCUAUCGUUCUGGGCGGCACGUGAGACGGUGGUGUCGGGCACGCGCGUGAUGGUGUUGUGGCUCGUGCGUGGCUCCGGUUGGCUGCGGGCAUGUGGAGGCGGGACCGGAGGGUGUUCGGUGAAGUUUGACAGGGCCUGGAGGUGGUGACGAGAUAUGUGCUGUUGGAGGGUAGGGACUGGCCUGUUGCGGCUGCCCUGGCGGCCUGAGUUGUCGGCUACCUUGGGCGUCACCGUCUGGAUCUGAAUGAUUAGAUCUGAUGGGCGUGUUUGUUUCUCCCGAUGGCGUUCUCCCGCAGUUGGUCGGCGAUGUUACCUGACCCUUGGCCAUCUCCUGCAUUUGUCGAGUUGGGAUCCGUGGGUGGUUGGGAGUGGCAUCCACACGCUAUCAUGACAGUGUAGGGGUGUUGGCAGGGUUGCUGGUCCAUGGUGGAUGAAUGAUGGCCAGGGCGCAUAGGUAUUGGGGGCUGACUUGGUCUGUGUUGUCACAAGCUUUCAUGUUAUGGUCCACUUGCUUGCUACAUGUAGCGUCGGUCGGUGUUGCGCUCUCUAGGCACUAUUGUGUCAUCCGACGGAUCGGUGCUAAGGACCACGAAUUUGGAGGCUCUCAAGGGUGUUUGGCGGCGGUAGUCGGUGGUCAUUUGGUUGUAUCCUCCCCGGUCCACUGGAACCGGCUGGGGACACGGGUGUGGGCACUUCCUAUGGUGGGGGCGCCAACCCAGGCUGAAUGACUGAUGUCAGACUAGGAGUGAAAGAAGACGCCUUUCGCUUCUACUCCCAUGGUUAGGUGGUCUUGAUGUGGAUGGUUGGCGGUGCCUAGGGGCCUGGAUGCUCGAGCGGUAGUCUUGGAUGGUGAGCUCCAUGUUUGUUUUUUCUUGCAGGCCCCAUGAUGGUGGUGGUGACUUCACCUGUUGGUCGUGUGGAUGGAAAGGGGUGUAGUGGUGGGAGACUCUGGCUCUGGUAGCGCCCAGAUAUGGUGUGGCUGGGCCGCCCCUCGUUGCGGUGAUGAUAGGGAACCAUCCCGUACGUGGUAUAGGUGAGUUUUUGAGCGAAAGCUUUGCGUUCUGGGUGCCGGCGACGAUGGAGCCCAUGGGUGCCGCUUGCUACGUUGUCAUGGGUCUUGUCCUUGUGUCAGGGCUCCGGGUGAAAACUCUAAUCUGUUUGUUUGGAGUCGGCAACGGCGACCCUUCACACCGUCAUCCACUUGGGGGUAUUGUCAUGGAGCUCAGGAGUCUUCAGUCGAGCCUCAGCUAAGUGUUAGGCUUGCUUUAGGUUCAUGUUUCUCUUCUGAACUACCUUGUAAGAGGGUCUUCCCAUCAUAUUGAUUCGUUCGGCCGUGUACUUUGUUCUGAUGUUGCUUUAUAAAUAAAGUGGGGCGAAAGCCUGUUUGGGGAGCAAUGCAAAAACAAUAAGAUGGUUUUUUUUCUAGUAUAAAUCACGAAUUGCAGAUCGUUUCCAAUCAUACUUUUCCCCUGUUUUGUUCUCCAUUGGUAAUGAGAGGUGGGAAAAAAGCAAGAAGCGGUGCAUGAGAUUGACGGAUCAUACGUUUUCCCUUUUUCACAAUGGACUUUUGCUUAGUGUGGCAGAGUGCAAAGUUUUUCCUACUAUUUUUGUAUUUCAUUAAUUUUCAAAUUGGUGUCUCUUUUGUUGUUACCGUCAGCUUGUUAAGGUAUACAAGGUUGUGCUUCAAAGCAGUGCAUGAGAUUGACGGACCUUGCUCGUGUGCUAGUGUGGUGGGGAGGCAGAUCGAGGAACAAGAACGGAUGCUGAUAUAGGGCAGGUCCUCAUGAAAUGGAGGAGAAGAUUCAGAUCUCAGUACUGAAGGCCUUUUUCUCUUCCUGCUAGAACGGGAGUUGCAUCCUUUGCAACAUAAAGCUACAGCUCUAACAUUAGUUACAUUACCACGAGCUCAUUUCAUUCCCAAACAGACACUCUUCUCGCUUCAACUCAACUCCAAAACUAUACUCUGACCGUGGAUGGGAGAGGGCAAGAAAAUAGCGACACAACCAUGCAUGUACUUUCUGCACAUCAGCAGGAGUUGGUUUCAACAGAACCAAGACCAUGAAUAGCUUGUUUAUAAAUCACAAGGUUCCAAGAUAAUACAAAACUUGAGCAAACUACAAACGUGAGAAAUAAUAAAAGUUAGGACAAAGCACGAAAUUUGUAAGGACGUCUCCAUCUAAAGGGAUCAGCUAGAUCCAAAUCAUGGACACCAUAAUCCAAAACAUACUGAUGAACGGAACCUGGUGUAAUAUGAAUCCGAGCACCUCUUGAGGCCUUCUUAUCCAGCUGAAGCUUUUUACGUUGUUGUCUAAAAAACUUCACUUUGUAAUCACUUGGAUCAACCUCCAGAGUUAUUAACUCUAGCAUUCCCGCGUUUAGUAAGAAGAAUGUGGCAAAGUCAACAUCUGACUUCAUACCCGAAUAAUAUCGCCAAACAAUAGUCUUCAGCCGCAUGUCAAGAGAAUUUAUAGUAUUCCGGUGUUUACGUCGCCACAAUUUUUUUAUCCCGGGCCCCCUUGACUAGGAAGAACAUAAUCAAACCAAAAACAGGCAGUUAAGAACAAUAAGCAAAUUAAUUAGAACUGAACACUAUGAACCAUUAAGAAAGAAUUGUCACCUCAAUGUACAACCUUUCCAAGAAAGGAAAGCACCUCAUCAGGUCAAUAACAGAAUCCAAACUAAGAGAAUGCGUAUCAACACAUAAAAUCUUGACACUGCGCACCGUCUUCGUCAGGCUAUCAACACGCAAUCCCUUGAUGAAGCAUGGGGAUGACGUUAGACCAGGUAUAAGUACAAGUGAAAUGCCGAUAUAAAUGCCUGUGAAGGGAAGUAGGGAUGACAUGCAUGGCUACCUGAAUAAUUGCUGAGGAGUCGAAUUUGAGUGUGGUACUACGAUGAUAAGAAGUAAGGCAGCCUAAGGUCUCCAGUUUGGGCGCAAAGAUUACCGAUAUACGCAGGUCAACAGUUGAACCAAGUUGAAGCAACAUAAGAAGAGGGGCAAUCUUGAUAAUGAGCUGUUCAAAUCGGAGAGUUGUAUGGCGCGCAAGAGAUUUCACAUAUAUGCUUCUAAGGCUGAUGGAGUUGAUCCGGACACAACGGAAGCCAGAGCUGCAGGAAAUCAUCAAGCACUCCAGUGCAGGGCAGCCAUCAAACAUGGCUUGCAGCGAGGAUUCAGAGAUGUUGACCCGCUUAAGCCCGAGCUUCUUAAGCAUAGGAAAGCGAAGCGCUUGGGCGGUGCUGUCGGGGAUGUGGCACUCUCUGAAUAUGGCGACACAAAGGGUCUCGGAGAAGCGGAAGGCAGCUGCCGGCGGGGGCAACGUUGGAGGUGGCAACCUGUAGUCGUUGCUGCUGCAGAGCUCAAGCUCCUGGAGGUUAUCGAGGGCGGAGGACUGGAGCCAAGCGUCGACCGUGGCAGCUCGGUCGCCGUGGAGGUGGUAGACAGGCGCGCAAAAGCGGCGGACGGGCCCGUUGUGGACGGAGAGGAUGUGCGACAUGACGGCGUCGAGGUCAUCCUGGUUGUUGCAGAGCCUGUGGUGAUUGAGGUUGAGAGGGACGGAGCGCCAGAGGUGGCGCCACCGGUGGGCGAGGAUCUACGUGCGGGCGCCUUCCUUGGUGGGGAGCAGCGAUAUGAUCUCCCCGACGAGUUCGUCGGGGAGGUUGCUGAUGCAGUCGGCGCGGGUACGGCGCUGGCGUUUCUUCCUCGUCGAAGCAGGACCUCCCGGCGCCUCCAUCGCCAAGAUCGGGGAUGCGCGUAGGGAGGAGGGGACGGCGGCGGUUUGAACAUUGGAAAAAAACGAAUCCCAAGCGAGAGAUCGAUGUUUUUUUUUAGCAUCAGUACAGACACAAGCGCUCAUAUACACGCGCAUACACUCAUCCCUAUGAACGCACACACGCACACCCUACCCCUAUGAGCACCUCCAAGAGACUGAGCCGGCACACCAGGAUUUGAACCCUGAUGGGUUGGGAAUACCACUGUCCAUCUAACCAUCUCAACCAUAGGUUGAUUCGCGCGAGAGAUCGAUGUUAGUAAUAUAAAUCCCGACGUUUUUUCACGGGAGACGAGGUAUGUGGCGUUGGGCUGGGGAUCUCUUUUCUGUUCCCAGGCCAAACAAUCGAUCGUGAACGCGCAGGCGUACGUACGGCCUCGACUAUCCGCCUUGACCCAACUCCAGUACGUACGUACUUCGUGCACUGCAUGUGCGCAUUAGUGAUGGACUCGCUCGUACGUGUACGCGCGUGGGUGGUGAAGGAAUCGAUCGCGGGCGCGUACAUGCGUCUUGUGCGCCGUCCGUUGGUUCUUUUGGUUCUUUGGCGGACGUAAAUUUGCAAUCUUUUUUCAGGGAGGAUCUUUUUUGAGCUGGCCAGCAAUUGCUGGUUUUCAUUAGCUUGGCAGAAGAGAGCGACAAAGGUGUUUGAUCAAGUGAUCUGUGGAAUGGAGAGAAACAAAGAAGAACAGAAGGUUUUUCAGGGAAGACCAUCGGUGGCAGUGGCGGAUGAUCCUUUCGUCGCAAAACGCAAAACGGCCAAACCCAGACUCGCUCUCAACUGUGUUGUAAUCAAGCGAGGGCGAAGGCGCUAGACACCUACGGUAGUGCAUGCACCCAAUAGUUGUUGUCCUUGACCGCCGGCGCCGCGAUGAGCAGGCCUAUUUUAAUUUAUGGAUGUCCCGACGAGGUCCGCUCAAGUCAGGUGAGGUCCUCCCUCCUCACGGGGGCGAGCGGGGAUCAUGAUAGCGAUUUCCAACCUGUACCUACAUCGCGUAGGCUGUGAUCCGGCGCCGGGGUAUGCAUGACUAGCGGUGGACGGCGAGUGUAUUAGAGUGUGGCGGCGGUGGUGGAGGAUGCGAGCGGAGGGAAAUGGGGGACGGCUGCCGGUGUCCGGCUUAAAUAGGACUUAUAGGGCCCUCCGGUGGCGUGGCAGCACGCGGCGUCCUCACCGUUCUCAUCGGAGACGCAUCGGACCGGCGUGUUUCGGUAGGGAAACAUGCGGCCAGUCCGACGUGACAGACGUAUCCGGAUCUCUUCGCAUCCGUCCCAGAUAUGGGCUAGACAUGAGGGGAGUGUUGGUCAAUUCAGACGUGUAGGGCCGGUAUGAGGAGUCGUUUUUCCGAUUGGUCAGGGACCGAGCGUAUGGGAGGGGUUUGUACUGGCGAGUGACAUGGCCUCUUUGACUUGCACGCCGAUUGUCCGUCCGUGUGCGUGGGUCGUUCAGGCCUCUCGUUCCAACACGGCGUAUGAAAAGAAAGAACAAAAAAGAAAGAAAGAAAGAAGUCCCACGAAAAAAAUAGGAAAGAGGAGAGCACGAGACGGGAAGAUGUCAGGUGAUACUAUGUGUUAGGUGAUACCAUGAUACGGGCUUCUAGGAGCCGUUGGAUCUCAGAUCCGACGGCUCCCCGGAGUUCUUGAGCAUUUUGCAAAAAAGUCAUCCGAGAGUCUCAAAAUUUCACGUAGGUACAAUAGACUUCUGGGAGCCGUCGGAUCUGAGAUCCAACGGCCCAGAAGCCCGUAUCAUGGUCAAGGUUUUGGAUUCCGAAUGGACCAUUUUUCUCGAGGGGGGGGGGGCGGUAAACUCGGUUACCACGGUAACCACGAAAUUUCGGAAAAAUUUCGAGCGGAAUUUAAAAUCAAAAUUUGAAUUCAAAUUUUUUAAGACAAGAAUACAUAAAACUUGAGCACAUAAAAUAGUUGACACUAGUGCUAGCGCACUGGCUAGAGGUGUGCUCGAAUGCGCUGCACAUGCAGGUCGCGAGUUCGACCCUUGCACGCCCAUAUUUUUUAGAAAUUACAGCUUCUAAAAACUAAAAUGAAAAGGUGCAGUUGGCAGUGCUCGGACACAAGACCCACAGGUGUUGGUUGAAGAUCCCUACCACUGCGCCGCAAGUAUGCUUGUGUUCUAGCAAGAGAUAUACCUUAUUUAACAAGCAGAUAGAAGUUUAAAUUCAAAAAGUUCAAAAAGUUCGAAAUUUUAUGCUCGCUAUACAUGAUUCUCGUGGGGGAGCGGGAAACACGGUAACCGGGCGGUAACCGAAUUUACCGCCCGGUACCCAAAACCAUGAUCAUGGUAUCACCUAAGUGUUGGUAGCACCUGAUAUUUUCCCAGCACGAGACGAGGUUGUAUGCCUUCUUUAAUCUACGCAUGACGACGAUCAUGCGCCAUCUUGAAAUGAUGCCGCCCUGCCUUGCUCUUGUUGAAUAUGGUGCCGUUGCUUUGGUAGCAUCACGUACAGCACCCAGGGCAUCAGUUUGAUCAGAGCUGUACUUCAACACCGGGCUGGAAACAAAAAAGGAACUCCUUGCUUCCAAGAUGAGGCCCCUUUUUUCUGGUUCUGGCUGAAGUGAUAGACCCGCGCUCCAAGUAGUUGAUGUAAACCGGAGAUAUCACACAACAACCUGAUUUUGCGAGUUGCGACUAUAUUCCACNNNNNNNNNNNNNNNNNNNNNNNNNNNNNNNNNNNNNNNNNNNNNNNNNNNNNNNNNNNNNNNNNNNNNNNNNNNNNNNNNNNNNNNNNNNNNNNNNNNNNNNNNNNNNNNNNNNNNNNNNNNNNNNNNNNNNNNNNNNNNNNNNNNNNNNNNNNNNNNNNNNNNNNNNNNNNNNNNNNNNNNNNNNNNNNNNNNNNNNNNNNNNNNNNNNNNNNNNNNNNNNNNNNNNNNNNNNNNNNNNNNNNNNNNNNNNNNNNNNNNNNNNNNNNNNNNNNNNNNNNNNNNNNNNNNNNNNNNNNNNNNNNNNNNNNNNNNNNNNNNNNNNNNNNNNNNNNNNNNNNUAUGGCUGAUAUCUGAUAAGACCUUGUUUAAACCAACUGAAUGACCAUACAAAUACCUUGAUCUGAGAAGGCCCUAGCAAGUUGGAUGGCUUCAUAAAAUGAAUUGACUGGCAGACAUCACAUUUGAUGCCUAGAAGCCACACAGAUCUGUAUUUUUUCAUCAAAUAGGUGCAAAAAAGGUGGCAUGCACAAGAUGGUUACAAAUACAACAGAACUAAAAUCACGAAUAGCACAUGUAAAAACUGCCGUAAGGUUCCAAAAUAAUGCAAACUUAAAUAAGUUACAAAGGUGACAACAAAUAAAAGCUAGGACAAAGUAUGAAAUUGGUAAGGAUGCCUCCUUACAAAAGGAUCAACUAGAUCCAAAUCAUGGACACCAAAAUCCUUAAUGCUGUGAUGAGACCGAUCCGGUGUAAAAUGAAGACAAGCACCUCCCGAGGCCUUGUUAUCCAGCUGAAGCAUCUUACCUUGUUGCGUAAAAAACUCCUCAUUGUAAUCUUGUGGAUUAACCUGAAGAGUCAUUAACUCUAGCAUUCUCGCGUUUAGUAAAAAGAAUGUGGCGAAGUUGACAUGUGACUUGAUGCCCUCAUAAUAUUGCCAAACAAUUGUCUUCAGACAAAUGUCAAGAGAUCUUAUAAGAGUUUGAUGCUUACGACCCCACGAGUUGGUUUUCCCUGAUCCUAUUGACUGAAAAGAGCAUAGACAAUUAAUAAACACAAUGAGGACAUUAAGUAGAUCAAAUGAGCACUGAACCAUGAUAGAAGAAUUGUCACCUCAAUGUACAGCUUUUCCAAGCAUGGAAAGCAUCUCAUCAAGUUAAUAACAACAUCCAAACUAAGAGCAGGCAUGUCAAUUGCUAAAAUCUUAACAGUGCACACUGUUUUCAUCAGGCUAUGAACACACAAUCCCUUCAUGAAGCAUGGAAGACGAUAUUAGACCAUCUAUAAGUCCCGAUAUUAUGGAAUUCAUCUGAUGCACACAAAAAUGCAGAUGAGAAAGCCCAUGAAGGCUGCAGCUACCUGAAUAACUGUCAAUUCGAACACGAGUGUGGUAUUACAAUUAGAAUAAAGGCAGCCUAAAGUCCUCAGUUUAGGCGCGGAGAUUACCGAUGUAUGCAGGGACUCAUGGAAACCAGCCUGGAGCAAGUUUUCAAGACAAGGGGCAUUCUCAAUGAUGAGUUCCCCAAAUUUGAGCUCUUUUUGAUAAUUAUAAGCUCUCACACCUACGCCUCUAAGACUAAUCGAGUUGAUUCGGAGACAAUGGAAGCUAGAGCAAUUCUGAAUCAGCAAAACACUCCAGAGUGCAGCAAGAAGCAAUCAUGGUGUGCAGUGAGGAUUCGGAGAUGGUGACCCGCUCCAGCGNNNNNNNNNNNNNNNNNNNNNNNNNNNNNNNNNNNNNNNNNNNNNNNNNNNNNNNNNNNNNNNNNNNNNNNNNNNNNNNNNNNNNNNNNNNNNNNNNNNNNNNNNNNNNNNNNNNNNNNNNNNNNNNNNNNNNNNNNNNNNNNNNNNNNNNNNNNNNNNNNNNNNNNNNNNNNNNNNNNNNNNNNNNNNNNNNNNNNNNNNNNNNNNNNNNNNNNNNNNNNNNGGCGGCGGUUGUGGCUUCGCUGGUGGAUACAGCAAUCUGUUGUUGGAGCUGCACAGCUCAAGCUCAUGGAGGUUGUCAAGGCCUCAAGGGCCGGGGACCGGAGCCAGGUGUCCGCGGUGGUGGCUCGAUCGCCCAAGAGGUGGUAGACGGGUGCGGAGAAGCGGCGGCCGGGGCCGGGUGGGUGGCGAGGACGCGCGACACAACGGAGUUGAGGUCGUCCGGGUGGUCGCAGAGCGAGCGAUGAUCGAGGUUGAGCGGGGCUGAGCGCCAGAGAUGGCGCCACCGGGAGGAGAGGACCUGGGUGCAGGCGCCUUCCCUGGUGGGGAGGAGCGAGACGAUGUCCCCGAGGACGCCGUCGGGGAGGCCGCUGAGGUGGUCAUCCGCCGUAGAUUCCGAGGCGUCCCCUUCUGAAGUCGCCGCCGCGACCGCCGUUUCCAUCUCCAUCGCACGCGGCCUGAGCGAGACGGCGUCGGGAAGGUCGCUGAUGCGGUUACCGCCGGCGCCUCCUCCGUCCCCAUCCGCUAUGGGAAGAGCAGGUUCUGGACAGGGCGCCUCUGUAGCUGGGGUAGCCGGUGCUUUCCUCUUCUUCGAUCUAUGAUCAGGAGCGCCUGCCUCCAUCCCCAUGGCUGGCGGUUUGUGCGGCGGCGAUGGAAGAGCACGCUGAGAAGAAGUAGGCGAUGGGUAUCCUUGUGUGUAUCUAGGUUAUUUUGUAGGGGUGCACGUGCAUAUGUGGGCGCGUUGCGAGCCACACGAGUACGUAUGUAACAAGAUGAAAUCAAAGGCCACGACAAAGCCCUGGUCUGCCAAACAAUUGCUGCUGCUUGUUCUGAUGAAAAAAAACAAUUACUGCUGAUCAUUCUAAAAAAAAAUCAACUGUUCUUUUUUUCUUUACAAGCAUCUCCAACAUGCGCGCGAAAUAUCCGGCGCGCUGGAUAAACCGCCAGUUUGGGGCGCGAGAGGCUGCGCGGCGCACUUUAGCAGGCGCGCGCGGAGAAAAAGCGGCAACGCGCGCAGUAGUUUUGGUGCGCGACACCCAGCGCGCUGGUUAAAAGCCACGUGCAUGUGCCCGCCAACCGCCACGAUUUCCCUCCCGCUGUGCCUUCUUUCUCGCCUCUUCCAGCGCCCCGCCGCCGCCACGUCUUCUCCCCCCACCUCUUCCAGCACCCCGCCAUGCCUCGGUGGCUCGAUGUGUUUACGUCGUCGGACUACACCACCGAGGAGGAAGAGGAAUAAUUUUACUAUUUUUAUUUAGCAUCGUAUGAACUUGCUUGUGGUUUGGGGCUUGAACUAUGCUAUGAAUUUGAACUAUGUGUUGUUUCAGAUUUUAUUUCCAAGCCCCGGUUGGUCACGCACGCUGGAUUUUACAGCGCCUAGUGAAGCACUAUAGUGGCACGCUAAAUUUUGCAGUGCCCAGUAAAGCAACCACCCUCCCGCGCACGCUAAAACGCUAUUUCGGCACUGCAAAAAAAAUUAUGUGUCGUGCUACCGCGUGCCUGUUGGAGAUGCUCUUAUUCCUCUAGCAAAACUGUGGCAUCGUUUACAGGUAAUGGAAGCACCUCAUCAGGUGCCGAAUCCAUCCAUUAAGGAGGAGAAAAUUUAACUAGCCUUCAUGUGCUACUUUAUUACACUCUCUAUUACAAUGACCAUAAGAUAAAUGAUUAAAAUCUGAGGACAAGAAAUAGCAAUCAUCAAUAAUUGCGCUUGCCACCGAAGAAGAAUUGCCAUCUCUCAGAGCUUCUGCUACCUCCAGAUUGUCUGGAUUGAUCAUGACCUUGUUACAGCCCACAGUCUGGCAAGGUUUAGCCCAAACCUAACUGCCAAUGCUUCUGCUGUGAAAGAAUCAUAGCAUAUGUCUAUUCUUUUAUUAGCUGCUGCUAUAAAUUUCCCAUUGUGAUCACGAAUAAUUUCCCCCACGGAUCCUUCAAGUAAAUCUUGGCCAAAUCCAGCAUCUACGUUUAAUUUCAUGUAUCCCAGCGGCGGUUUUUGCCAAGCUUCUAUACGAACUUUGGCCUUUGGUGAGCAAGCAAUACUAGAAUUUGCAGCAAGUCCACGUAUAGCUAGAGCAAUCUGCAUGGGGUUCUGAAUAUCUUCUUCAUGAUAGAUUUUUCGGUGCUCAAAUUUAAGAUACCACGCGGUGGUAGCUACUACUUCUCUCAAUUUCGGAAGCCCCAAAAUAUGGACUUCUGUUUCUUCAAGUUUAACAGAUCCUGCACUACUUCCUCAUCAGUUUUAUACUUUGUGCAUCUCUUCUUUACUAUAUCAUACAUCCCCAAUUGUCUCCAAACUUCUAUUGAUCUCGGGCACUCAAAGAGGAAAUGUCGAAUACUAUCUAGACCUCCGUUACAUUCUGGACAAUGAACCUUCGCCCUCAUAUGCUUCGAAGCUAGGAUCGCCCGGCACAGGAUUGCACUGUGGAGGACCCGCCAUAUAAAAAUUCUGAUCUUGGCUGGGCAUUCUAGACACCAAAUCAAGUUCCACUUCUCAUCCAGUACUGAAGAUCCCGUAUUUGUAUGAAUCAUAUAUAUGACCAAAUUGAAAAUUCCAUUCAACUUGGUAAGCUGAGCGUACUGAAAAAAAUCAACUGUUCUUAAUGGUUAAUCACUGUCGUCAUUAGGGUCCAUCGACCGAUAUGGUGCUUUGCGUUAUGCUCAAAUCAACUACGUAUGUUUUACGCAAAUCAUGCCACUAGCAAGGUGUAUUAUUUUCUUGAUUGAAGAUGGUACGGCCGGAGCUCUGCUUACUCUGGGAGUUUAGCCAGGUUUAGCUUCAUGCUUAAAGUUUUUGCUUCACCAACGUCACUCAAAUACUCGAGGCUGCCUGGUUGUUUGCGUCGUAUGGUAUAAUAUAUACAGAGAGAGAGCAAUCUAGUGUCAGGUUCGAGGAGCUAGCCCUCACUAACGUCAGUCAAAUACUCGAGGCUGCCUGCUUGUUUGCGUCGUAUGGUAUAUAAAAUGUUGAUUUUCAGGGGGGUCGAGCACUGAACUAGGACAAACUGACAAACAAAUUAUACAGCCUAUCCCGUGGCCGAUCAAAACAGUUCAACAUCAGGGACAUUAACGCUGGAAAAGAAAAUAAUCCAUUACCUUCCGAGACGAAGCCCCGCGGAUAUGUAGAUCCACACUGCAAGUAGUUGGUGCAAAACUGGAGAAACCACGAUAAUAUCUUGACCUGGGGAGGUGUUUGAUACACCAGGUGAAGUGAUACCGACAUUCACUUCCUGUAGCAUAACUAGCAUCAGCACAAGGAACAGGUCAGGAGGCUGCCCUGCGUUUGCAGCUCUCAACAACUUCAGCCAGCGUGCCUCUCUACACGCUGGUAUCAUCACUCUGCUGCUGACGAAAUAUACAUUUACCUUCCAAAAAACAAUGUCAGCACAUCGGCCAACACCAAGCUUGAUCAGAGCAGUUCAACACCAGGCUGGAAAGAAAAAAGAACUCCUUGCUUGCUUCCAAGACGAGGCCCCAUAUUUUUUGUUUCGGCUGAAGUGAUAGAUCCCCGCUACAAAUAGUCGAUGUGAACUAAACAGAUCACAUAUGUUCCACAUAACCUUGCCUCUGAGUAAGGAGGGAAACAUAUGAGUGAUACCUUGAUGAGAAAGAGACCAAGUUGCAUGACUUUACAAUAAGAUUUAACAGACAAACAUCACAUUGAUGCUCAGAGGACACACAGAUUUGUAUUUUCUCAUCACCAAAUAGGAGCACAAGUUGGUUUUUCAUCAGAAUUGACAUCAUGAAUAGCAUGUUUAACUGCCAUAAGGCUCCAAAAUAAUACAAACUUGAACAAACUACACACAUGAGAACUACUAGCAGUCAGCACAAAGCACAAAAUUGGUAUUUUCCUUAGAAGACCAAUCCGAUGUAAAACGGAAUCGAGCGCCUCUCGAGGCCCUGUUAUCCACCUGAAGCAUCUUACUGUGUUGUGCAAAGAACUCCUCAUUGUAAUCUUCAAAUUAACCUCAAAAGCACAAAAUUGGUAUUUUCCUUAGAAGGGCACGUCCUUUCAAAGGGAUCAGCUGGUUCCAAAUCGUGGACACUGGACUCCAAAAUGUGGUUAUAAGACCAAUCCGAUGUAAAACGGAAUCGAGCGCCUCUCGAGGCCCUGUUAUCCACCUGAAGCAUCUUACUGUGUUGUGCAAAGAACUCCUCAUUGUAAUCUUCAAAUUAACCUCAAAAGUCAUCAAUUCCAGCACUCCAGCGUUUAGUACAAAGAAUGUGGCGAAGUCAACAUGUGACUUGAUGCCCCGAUAAUGUCGCCAAACAAUUGUCUUGAGACGGAUGUCAAGAGAUCUUAUAAGAUCCCGGUGUUUACGGCGCCAGCAGUUGCUUUUCCCGGGUCCAGUUGACUAAAAUUGAACAUAGACAAAUAAAAAACCAAUCAUUUCAGGACAGUAAGAUAGACCAAAUAAGCAUGGAACCAUCAUCACAGAAGAAUUGUCACCUGAAUGUAUAGCUUUUCCAAGGAAGGAAAGCAUCUCAUCAAGUCAAGAACAACAUCGAGACUAAGAGCAUGCAUAUCAACAGCUAAAAUCUUGAUAGUGCGCACCGCUGUCGUCAGGCUAUCAACAUGCAACCCCUUCAUCAAGCAUGAAAGAUAACAUUAAGACAUCCAAUUAGUCGGAAGUGGAGAUAGUAUGUUCUUCAUCAGCACAUGGAAAUGCAGGUAAGAAUGCUAGUAGGAAGGCCACAACUACCUGAAUAACUGCCGAGUCAAACGCGAGUACGCUACUACAAGUAGAAGAAAGGAAGCCUAAGGCCUCCAGUUUAGGCGCAUAGAUCAACGAUACAUGUAGGCGAUCACUUAAGAUCAAGCUACCAAGAAAAGGGGCAUUCUCAAUAAUGAGUUCCCCAAAUUUGAGCCCUCUCCCAUAACUAUAAGCUUUGACACAUAUGCCUCUAAGGUUAAUAGAGUUGAUUCGGAGGCGACCAAAGCCAAAGCUGCGGUAAAUAAGCAAGCAUUGCAGAGCUGGGCAACCCGCAAUCAUGGUGUGCAGCGAGGAUUCGGAGAUGCCGACCCGUUUAAGCGCGAGCUUCUGAAGCUUAGGGAAGUGAAGCGGUUGGAUGGUGCUGUCGGUAUGGUGGCAAUCUCCGAUGGUGGCAACACAAAGGGUGUCCGAGAAGCGGAAGGCGGCUGCGGUGUUUGCGGUGGAGACGGCAACAUAAAUCGGUAGCAGCAAAGCUCGAGCUCAUGGAGGUUGUCGAGGGCGGGGGAUCUGAGCCAGGCGUCGGCUCGGUCGACGGGGAGGUGGUAGACGGGCGCGCAGAAGCGGCGGCCGGGGCCCCGGUGGGCGGCGAGAACGCGCGAUAUGGUGGCAUUGAGGCCCUCCUGGACGAACAGGAACGGACGGUAGUCAAGGUUGAGAGGGGCGGAGCGCCAGAGGUGGCGCCACCGGGAGGCAAGGACCUGGGUGCGGGCGCCUUCCCGGGUGGGGAGGAGCGAGAUGAUGUGCCCGAGCAUGCCGUCGGGGAGGCCGCUGAGGCGGUCCUCGUCGGGAAGCGGCGGUUGCUGGUCCUCCGCCGUAGAAUCCAAGCCGUGCCAAUCUGCAGUCGCCGAAGCCGCCGCCUCCUUUUCCAUCCCCAUCGCCGACGGCCUGAGAGAGACGAUGUCCACGAGUACGGCGCCGGGGAGGUCGGUGGUGCGGUCGCCGCCGGCGCCGUCGCCUCCUCCGUCCUCAUCCAUUCCGGGAAGGGGCGCUCCCGGGCCCUCCACUUCUAUAUCCGCGGGCACCAGCGCUUUCCUCUUCCUGGAGCUAGGACCAGGAGGAGCGCCUGCCUCCGUCCCCAUGGCUAGCGGACUGUGCGGCGGGGAUGGGAAGAGCACGCCGAGGAGGAGGGAGGCGGGGUUGGGGUUGGGUUGACGGCCCGUCGCCGGAGCCGACAGGAGCAGAGGAGAUGGGCGGGAGCUCCUACUGGACGCUCUUUGCGUCAAAUUGUUGACGCAACGCACAGGGAGGCAGCCCGACUGGGCCGGCCCAACGAGCUGUACCGCAUGAGAAAAAAGGGAAGCAAAAAAAUGAGCUAGGCGCGAUCCCAGGAAUCGUACUGGCGACCAAACGAUUGCGAGUUGCGACCGCAUGCUCCUUGCCAUUCCACCUGACUAGCGUUUUAUGUAUUUUGACAUUGCGUAACUAAACGAACUUAGGACGCCCGUACAACAAGCCAAAUCUACUUCGAACACAAUUUUUUUUUCAAAAACAAAACGGGAAUGUUAUAUCAAACGCGAACAUUAUUAGUUCUAUUUACAAAUUUUGAGAAACCUCAAACAUUUUUCAACACACAAACGGAUUUUCGAGAUGCGAACAUAUUAUUUAGAACAGAAACAUUUUUUAAACUACCCAAAAAACUGAACGGGAAAAAGUUUCAAAUUUCAAACACAAAAUUUGGAAACACGAACAAAUUUUGCACGUGAACAUUUGAUGAAAGCCCAGAACAAAAUUAGAAAAAAACGAACAUUUCUUAAAAUUAGCAAAAAAAAUGGAAACGGAACAUUUUCCGAAACUCCGAAAAAACUUGUAAAUAUGAACAUUUUUGAAAUUUCCGAACAAAUUUUGGAACGGGAACAUUUUUUCAAACUCCCAAACAAAUUUAUGGAAUUUACGAUUUUUUUUGCAAUUUGUGAACAAAAUUUGAAAACAUGAACAUUUUAUAAAUUUGUGAACAAAUUUGGAAAGCUGGAACACUUUUUGAAAUUCCUAAACAUUUUUCAAAUGCAAUUUUUUUGAAAACAUGGACAAUUUUUAAAUAGGAACAUUUAGUGAAACUCAGAAACAAAAAUUGGAAAAACUAACAUUUUUCUUAAAUUUGCGAACAAAUUUUUACGAAGUUGUGAAAUUUAAAAAAAACAAAAAGAAAAGAAACAGAGAACAAACUUUGAAGCGUGAACAAAUUUUUAAUGCAUGAACAUUUUUUGAAUCUUGAGAACAAAUUUUGAAACGGAGAGCAAUUUUUGAAAAACCUAACAAAGUUGCAGGUGUCAACUUUUUUAAUAAGUGAACAAAAAAUUAAAAUCCGGUACAUUUUCUGAAUUUCGAAAGUUUUGAAUUUACAUGUGUAAUGAGAACAUUUUUUCGAAAGCUGAACUUUUUUUGGGAACAUAAACAAAACUUGAAUAUUUUGAAAAAAGUUUGGAAAUAAGAGAAGAAAAGAAAAAUAAAUAAAAUAGAAAAGAAAGAAAAUUUGUUGAAAAGGGAAAAUUAACUUGAAAAGGAAAACUGAAAGAAGAAACAUAGAACAAAAAAAGGAAAAAGAAAAAAAGAAAAGGGAAAAAAGAAAUAGAAACAGAAAAACAAAAAAGAACCAAUAAAAAACGAAAAAACCGGUUCAGGGAACCUCCUAGAAGGUUCCCAAAACCGGUGGUAACCGCGACUGGGCCGGCCCAAAUCUUCCUGGGGUGUGCGGAGCCUCGUCAAUUCGCCGCAAAAUGCGGCGAAUAGGGUUUUCCGAGAUGGGCGGCGGCGGUAUUGGGGGAAAAGGCGCCUGGCGGAUCACACAACGACGACGUAGCAGAAUGAAUCAAAGCCCACUCAUGGCGUAGGCCGGUCGGCCCAGUCUGCUUGCUGAAGCCUUCUUUUUUUGCUCAAAAAAAUAUGCUGAUGUUUUUUUUUAACUCGAGGCAUGCUCCUCUCCUGCUGAUGUUAAUCACUUCCAUUAGCGUCCAUCGAUCGACACAGUGCUCUGGCAAAAUAUACUUCCGUAUAUUUAAUACUACCUCCGUCUUGGUGAAUAAGUCAUUCGCGUAGUUCUAGGUUGACGAUUUAACUAUCUAAAUAUGUAUUAUAUGUGACAAAAAAUACAUAUUUAGAAACUACAUCAUUAUAGAAAUCUAGUGAUAUACUUUUCAUGACAUAUAACACAUAUUUAAUUUCUUAAAUCAAUGACCUAGAACCACGCAAAUGACUUAUUCACCUAGACGGAGGUAGCACUAUUUAUAGUAUUUUCUUGUUGUAGAAAAUACUAUUUUCUUUUUAAUGACCAUGCCAAUGUCAAAAAAUGGGAUUUAUUUUUUCCUUUAGAAAAUGAUACGGCGCUCUGCCUACUGAGGGAGUUUAGCUUCUUGGUGUGAGUUUCUGCUUCGCUAGUGUCAAUGAAACACACCAGGCUGCUUGCUUGCUUGUUUGCAAUCAAGUGUCGCGGGUUCGUUCUGAAUUUGUGACACCAGGGCAUUGGCCUAGGUACGGUAGCUGAUACACCAUGUACUGUUCCUUUGUCUAUUCACACACACAAAAAAAGUAUUGUUCCUUUGUUUCUGUCAAGGUAUGGAACAGUAUACAGUUGGCACAGUCUGUACUCUUUUAUUUAUGUCUGUCUGUCUGUCUGUCUCCAUCUUUUUUGUGAAUAGGUAACUCUGUGCUCAACAAAGUCUGUUUGAAAAAUAAUAAAUAAUCAUGCAUGGCACCUGGGGAUCAGUUUCCCAAACUUGGUUGGUUGCUUGGAGGCGCCAUAGAAACGUACACAACACCGUGAUGAUCCCAUGCAUUGCACAGAAGCCAGAAACCACAGAGCCUCCGCUGCCUGUGGCUUCACAGCAAGCGUACGUCGUCAAUGUUGAUCUUCGUUCAGGGGAACAUCGCUUGGGGGCGACCACUGAACCAGGACAAAUGCCGGGAAGAUCGACUCACUAUGUUGUUUGUUGACACGACCAGUUCACCAGCGUUCGAUGUUGGUGUUCCCGACAGACCAGAUGCUCCACAGCAAAUUGAUUCACUAACAAGGGCAUCAUGCUUGCGAUAAUUGAAUCCAGUAACAAGUUUACAGUGUUCCAUCUUUAGAAUAUUUAUGUCGGCACCCAGCAAAUUGACAAAAAAAUUAUAAAGUCAAGGGGUUCUGACAGCGAAUGAAAUAGGAAAGAAACCUGCUUGGCCAGCAGUUCGGUGGCGCAACAAAUUAUAUAGUCAGGACUCCUGACCCUGAAACUGUGACACAUAUGGAGGUUGGCUAUCUUAAGUCUUACUUAUUUUUUCCUACCGCGCACCUGCAAUAACAUCACCAACUAAGUUCAGUCUGAAAACAUGUUGAUACUGAACCAGAAGUUGGCUCUGAACUCUCAUGUUGGACCUAACACAUGAAAAUGUUACAGAGGGGAGAGCGGCCAGAUGAUAUCCAGGUAACAAGAGGACUCUGUAACCAUAUUGUUUUGCGAUAUAGGGUAUCAUGAUGAGCCUCCAAACGCUGAUCAACCACCGUAUGGCACCCCAAGCCCAAGGUUUACACUCGAAACUCCUACCUAACAAAAACAAAUCACAGUAUUAUUUGCCUCUUUUUAGAAUGUGUGCAUGGUAACCACUGGCACCAUCUGAUGAUGAAUAGACUUUUUGAGUAGCUCCUCAGGCUUGCUUGAGAAGUGGGAACUAUGGUUGUCUCACAUUCAUGUUACCCUUUUUUUUGACCCCCUGACCGUAGAACAAUAGUUCUACGGUAUAUUUUUGUUAAAAAAAUUAUGUACAAUGAAACAUUCUAAAAGGCCUUAGCCAAUGCCAGCGGGUUCUAACAUCAUAAUAAAUCACAAAUUAUUAUCUAACCAGUGCUGAAUCUUGUUUACCUUGGAGGCCUUAGCUCUCAGCAUGAGCACCUUGAGUCCUUCUCGCAUGCAAUAUUUCCAGCACAUAGGGUGAGCCACUGCCUGUUUGAAAAUCUUGUCAUUUCUCACGGACCAAAUGCUCCAGCAGCCAGCAAUGAUGAUAUCGACGCCAAACUCUUUUGGGAGGACUGACAGGGCCAGACAAAAUUCAUCAAAAUUGGAAAUGCCUCUUCUCUUAGCAGGCAUAAUUAUGUUCCAACGGUGGGUGGAAAAAGAGCAGUCCCAGAACAAGUGAAGUGAGGUUUCUUCUGUCUUAUCAUUACACAAUGCAUAGUCAAAUGAGCUCAGAACCAUUGAUUUUCUUUUCAAAAGGUUCCUGGUGUUGACCCUGUCAUGUAGAAGUAACCAGAAGAAGAUUUUGUGCCUGAGUAAGUUUGAUGCUUUCCAGAGGAUUUUGAAGAGGAAGUGAGCAUUGCUUUGUCCCAUCAAACAUUUGUACAUCUUGAUAGAUGAGUAUUCUGGUGUUGUCCAUUUGUACGUCCAGCUAUCCUUGUGUUCAACAGAAGGGUGGUUGUGCAGCAGAUCUUGCAUCUCCAUGAACGGUUGGUGGGCAGCAGCGGAUAAUGGUCUGUGAAAGAGAUCUUCUCUGUUGUCUAAUUGAAGCACCUGUUGCAACAUUAUAUCCACCUGAAUGGCAAAGGAGUAAAGCUCUGGGUAUUUCAGAUGAAGUUGCAUCUCCUGCCAAGGGUCCUUCCAUAGCCUAAUUUGUAUCUCCAAUGCCUGCCUUGCAGUUAGAGAACUGUUGAAAUGUUGGGAGCAGUUUCAUGAUAUCUUUCCACCCAAAGGAACCAAUUUGCUGGACCACUGUCAUUGGAAUGGCAAGAAUGCUCAUAUAGAAGAUAGGCAUACUUGCAAAAACCGAUUUGAUGAGUACCAGCUUAUCACCAUAUGGGAGCAGUGUAGAACAGCCUUGCAAUCUUGUCUCAAUUCUCUUGAUUAGAGGGAAAAAAAAUCCACCACCCUUGGCUUCUGGAUGCUCAGAGGCAUUCCUAGAUAUGGAAGUGGAAAUGAGCCAAUCUGACAACCCAUUAAAACUGACAAAGCCUGCAUUUUGUCCUCUGGAGUGUUGAUUCCAAUCAUGGUUAAUUUGGCAUGAUUCACUUUCAGACCCGUGUAUGUUGCAAAGUGAAGCAACAUGUUCUUAAUGUGCAUUAGCUGGCUAGGGAUAGCAGGGAGUACCAGAACAGUGUCAUCUGCAUAUUGAAUGAUUGGAAAGUCUGGGCAAGUGGCAUGCUUGAUGGGGACUCAAUGAGAGCAUUGUUCAUAGCUUCAUUCAUCAUGGACUGCAGAAGGUCAACAGCUAUCACAAAUAUUAAUGGAGAUAGUGGGUCACCUUGCCUCACUCCACUCUUGCAAAGGAAUUGUUUGCUAGGAACUCCAUUGAGUCAAACAGAGGAGAAACCAGUGCUAUAUAUUUACUUGAUCCAGUUGAUCCAUUUCUGUCCAAAACCUUUUGCUUCCAUAAUCUCAAUGAUGGUGUCAUGAUUAAGUAGGUCAAAAGCUUUCUCAAAAUCCAGUUUGAGUAGAAUUAUCUCCUUCUUUGAUUGAUGACAUUGAUGUAAAUACUCAUAAGCCCAAGCCAGGCAAUCCUGAAUACUUCUGUUGUUGAGGAAGCCAUAUUGAUUCUUAUGUAUCAAUCUCAAGAUAACUUUUUGUAAUCUGUUGGCCAACAGUUUAGUGAUAAUCUUUAGGGUACAGUUGAGCAGUGAGAUGUGUCUGAAUUCACCUGGGGUGGCAGCAGAGCUAUUUUUGGGAAUCAAAGUGAUGUAAGAAUAGUUGAUGCUCUGAAUAUGUGUUUUACCCUCAUGAAAAUCUUGGAUGAGGGAGUAGAAGUCAGGUGCCACAAUAUCCCAGCAAGCUUUGAGACCAGUCAGGUGCUACAAUACUCCCUCAUUUUAAUUUGUUGGUCAGCAUUAAAACCAUCUGGUCCUGGAGCUUUGUCAUUGGGCAUUUCUUUGAUGAUGUUAUCAAUUUCCUCAUGUGUGAAAGGAGCUUCUAGGUCUUGUAGCAACUGAUCUUGUUGGAGCAAAGUAUGCAACAGAAGAGGAUUGCUGGUUUGUUUAUUUGUUCCCAAUCUUUCCUUGAAAGCACUGUACAGAAUAGCAGCUUUGGAUUGAUGGUCCUUGUGUUCAACACCAUUGGAGUCCUUGAGCAUAGCAAUACUGUUAUUCCUCAUCUUAAUAGUUGCUUUGGCUUGAAAGUAUUUAGUAUUUGCUUCACCCACCUUGAUGGCUCUAAAUAGUAGCUCUUUGUUUUCAAUAAAUUUUCUGGAAUUUAAGCACUCUAGUAGGGUGAUCUUUAAGGCAGUUUCUGCCUUCAGAUUCUUCUCUUGAUAAUGGUCAUGGGAGAAACAAGGCCAAGAAAAUUCCGGCUGGGAUCGGAAAGCUCACCCAAGUGAAUCCACAUCAGGAGUUUAAUUGAUGGCACCCGCCACACCAUGGGAUCAAACGACAGCUCUGACCACGGUGAUCUGAUGCUGACGGCAGAGCCGGCUACGGGCUCCAAAGCUCAAGUGGACGAUGAUGCCGCCUCGCCGGAGCAGCAAGCCCAAAAACGCAUUCACGAUGGUGGCGGCGUGAUCAAACAUGACUUAAUUACAAGUAGCUAGCACUCCACGUCUCCACAACUCUUCCGAAAAUUUUAACCCAAAAAUUCAAGCUUCGAGAUUGACUGGCAUAUUUUACUAUGCCCUAAUACAUACAUCUCCUUAUGUAUGUCGAAUAAAAUCGAGAGUGGAUUUUUUGCUCUCGGGCUCCAUGGAUCCUGAAAUUUUCAAAAAAUCAAAAAUCAACCUUUUGGAUUUCAGAAAAAACUGAAAAUAAAUACAAAAAUACUUGCAGAUGGGUGUGAAGUUUCACCAUAAAAAAACAUUUUGACGUGACCCGCACAAAAAACAGAAAUCAUGUACAACGCACGGGCACCACCUUCAAUUGACCUCUGGAAUCCCUAUUUAAUUAGCCCCACCUUGUAUCGUUUCGUGUUCAUCCGUUUGAUUGGCGCAUCUAGGUGUGGCUCCUGUGCAAAUCUUAGGCCCUGUUUGGUUCAUAAGUUUUAGGACUUUUUUUAGUCCUAACUUAUAAGUCCCAAGUCCCUAAAAAGUCUCUACUUGUUUGGUUCCUGGGACUUAUAAGACCCUAUAAGACCAUAUUACAACUAUAAGUCAUAUAAGACUCUCCUUGAGAGUCUUAUUUCAUAAGUCCCAAAUGCCCACUUUAAGUCCCUAUAAGUCCCUCCUGUUUGGUUUAGAUGGGACUUAUAGGGACUUUUUUAAGUCCCUAAACCAAUAAGUCCCUGGAAACAAACACCCUUUAAUUCUCUUUCCUUCCAUAUUUCUCCGUCACGUCGCACUUCUUUUGAAAUCUAGCCCAUGCAUCACUUAUUUAAUUAGCGGUCUCUCUUCUAGUUUAGUCUUCACUUAUUGAUCCUGAGACAGUUAUUUGUAUCUAGAAACUCAAAUCUAUAAUACCUAAAUAAUUCAUCCCCACUAACAUAUUUUUCUUGACAUGCACACGUAUUCUUUGUUCUUCUUUAUGUUUAGAGAUGUGGUGACAACUCCCGCUCCCACUCUUUGGUAAGAGAACAUUAGCUGCUUAACAUCAAUUUCUAUUUUUUAGGGCAUGGCAACCUGCAACUUUGUAAACAUAGUAGACCAGAGUGGAAACCUGAUCAUCUUUUUGUGCCUGGGCCGCUUUUGCUCAAUGGCGUCACUAUUGGAAACGUAGCUGCUCUUACUAGAUUUGCUUCUCCUUUUUUGAUGUGAUCGGAGGAUCUAUGCACUCUGCAUAGUCUCAUCUCCUUCCUCAUCUAUGUCAGAUCCUGCUUUUGUUUGAUUGAUCGUGCAUGCUUGAUUUCUGGAUUUCUUAAGGAUGCUGAUGCGUGUAAAUCGUUGGGCGUUGGCUACAUGGUUUCACCUGCCACAUCUGAGGCCUUCUAUUAGAUUCAUAGAUCAGCCGACAACAUAUACUGAGAAAAAGAGCCUGAGACAUUUGUAAGUGGGUUGAAAUUCAAUAAUGAUUCUCUCUGUUUUCACAAGGAAAUAUGAUUGAAAAUACACAGUAUGAUUUCUUAUUGAAUACAGAUUUAUCCUUUCUUCUAAUGUUUGUACUUUUUCCCCAUGAAGUGUUCAUUUCAGGUCAUGUUCCCUUCAACACUACUUGGAACUGAUGAAAACUAGACAAUGAUGAAGACCAUAAGUGUUACUGAAUAUGUAAAUGAUGAAGCAGGUAACUUACAUAUUUUUUGUUUGAACCUAACACUUGAUUGUAACGAGUCAUCUUUUUUGUUUGAAUGCCGAAAUUUGGUUGUAUGUAGUUAAGCAGUUCGUUAACAUUUGAAGUAGGAGCUUCACUUCCUUUCAGAUUUUAUACUCAUUAUACAAUUCAGAGUCUACAUCCAAAUCUUCUUGCAUGUAUUUGUAUUUCAGAUAAUUUUCAUUUUUUUUAAUUCAGGUUAUACACUGCUACAGUACUAUUCUUUUACCUUUUUAAAGGAAUAUGGCAAUUCAUUUGCAUCGUGCAAUUGGGUAGUUUUUGCACAAUUUUUUUCAAUGAUUGGUGCAGCAAUAGGGUUCAUACAAAUGCACAUCUAUAAUACAUAAAUAGUUCAUCCCCACUAACAUAUUUCUCUUGACAUGCAGCCUAUCCACAUCAGCAAAUUUUUUUAAAAUAUUUUCCAGUAAAGAAAAUAUAUUGUGCUUUAACACCUCUUUUAAGUUUGCACAUUUGAGAAUUAAUUUUGAGCUUAUGUUCUAUUAUGUUUUUCCGUCAAGUGUUGUGAUUGCCUUCAAAGCAGAAUCUUCUUAUUUGCAAACCUUGAAGGCAUGCACUGUUGACUGAAAUGUUAUUUAUAUUACUCCCAUCCUUCCUUUGUUACACACCAAUACAAGAAAUGUAUUGAGAACAUUUUGAUUCUCUUCUUUUUGGUCCCAUUUAUAAUUAUAUUUCCUUAUUUGUUCCCAUUGCAAUGUACUGAUGAUGGAAUGGCCAACUCGAAUUUUUUAGUUUUGUUUGAUGUUGCAUUGAAGCGAAUAGUAUGUUACUUGGGGCUCUUUUUCUGUGGAUUCAUGUACUAAUGUGAAUCAAAACCCAUGACCAAAAUUGACACUUCGAAUGAAAUAUAAUAUCCCACAUCAACAUGUAGGGCACCAUGAGCCCUCCAUAUCACCAAUUGUGCCACUUCGUAAACUAUUUUGUAGCACAUGCACACCUCAAAAGUGUUCCAUCUUCAAUGGUCCAGCAUACAUUCAUACUCUUUAUGCACCCACAAUUGCUGCUGAAAAAAAUUAGCUUUUGAUUUAGGUCAUUUCAUUCAUAGAAAAUUUAUUCAAAAUUAAUCUUUAUAAUCCCGCAGCAACGCGUGGGGAAAUCACCUAGUAGUAUGUAUAUAAAUUGGCACAAAUGAAUGUAAUGGAAUAAGAUGAGAUUAUUUAAUAAGAUGAAUCAAUCUUUUCUCCAACACACAAUAACAUCUACUUUUAUUGAAACUUUCUAUUUUGCAUUUGAAAAUUCUGAUUUUCUCGGUUGCGAUUAUCAAGUUUCAGAGAUGAAACUUUAAGCGAUUCUUUUUGUCGGUCGUUUAUCAGUCGCGUGGACCAAGUUUCAAGAGUUGUAACUUAAUACUCCCUCCAUUCCCUUAUACAAGGCCACAAUGAGAAAUACAAUAUGCAUCUAUACAAGGCCACUAACUAUAAUCGAGGUAAAAAUUAAUAAUGUUUUCUCGUACUACCAAUUGUUCUAAUAUUUGCAUGCAUGUAGUCAUAAUGACACGGUGCUACUUCCUUCUAAUUCCUUCUUUGCAUGUAUGUGGGCGUAUUAAUGAUUCCAGUUAACAAAAAGAAAAGUGAACUUGCACAGCAGUCAUUGAAUUUUGCCUUGGUACUUGUAAUUUGAGUUUGUGGCCUUGUAUAAGGGAAUGGAGGGAGUAUAUUUUUUCCAAAUUCAUCAAAACAUAAUGGAUCUUAUUUGAAACCCUUGUCAUGAGAAACACGAAUAUGAAAACAAAACUUAAUUUGGAAUUUUUAUUCAAAAGAUAUGAAAGUUUGAAAAUCAAAAGAAAAAGAAAAAAAAACAC
rnacentral:lncRNA from 1 species